rnacentral:misc_RNA from 1 species
GAAGUGCGAUAAGCAAUGCGAAUUGCAGAAUUCCGCGAAUCAUCAGAUCUUUGAACGCAAAUGGCGCCGGAGGGAUAUCCUUUCGGCAUGUCUGUUUCAGUGUCUGAGAGGUUUCACAAAAAUCUUAAUGUGAUUGAAGGGUUGCUUUGAGAUAGCAAUAUCUCGCUCCAAUCCUUCUCUCAUGAAAGAUGGGUGAGUGGAUCUUUCGGUCCAAUGAAGUGGUCACAUCACUCGCAUGUGAUUUCAUUGGAAAUCACCGAAUUAUCCGUAUACUCACCGUAACAAAACAACAACAAAAUCUCCAUACCCUGCAUCUGAGAUAGGCAAGAUCACCCGCUGAACUUAA